rnacentral:misc_RNA from 1 species
GUCUGGUGGUCUUACUAUAUCUUUUAUUUUGAUGACAUUUUCAUGAUCCAUGUGAGAAAGAAGUUUGAUCUCGCGAAGGGUCCUCUUUGCAUCAAUUCUAUUUUCAAAUGCAUUCCCAAUUUUUUUGAUUGCUAUCUCCUCCUUCGUCUCUGAAUUUGUAGCACAGCAUACGAUUCCGUAAGCUCCACGGCCUACAGGUUGAAUUGGAGGGACAUACUUUGAGGUAACUUCAAAUAAGUUACCCACAACAUUGUACUCAACAUAUUUACCAUCCCGAGUUGGAAUUCCUUUGAUUUCCACUGAAUUUUCAAUGUUUUCAGCAUCCAUUUUUGCUCUAUUCGUAACCCUUUUU